rnacentral:rRNA from 1 species
UAAGGAAUAUUGGUCAAUGGACGCAAGUCUGAACCAGCCAUGCCGCGUGAAGGAAGACGGCCCUACGGGUUGUAAACUUCUUUUGUACGGGAAAAAAUCUCCGGUCGUGAAUCGGAGCUGAUGGUACCGUAAGAAUAAGCAUCGGCGAACUCCGUGCCAGCAGCCGCGGUAAUACGGAGGAUGCAAGCGUUAGCCGGAUUCAUUGGGUUUAAAGGGUGCGCAGGCGGAAUGAUAAGUCAGUGGUGAAAGCCUACGGCUCAACUGUAGAACUGCC